rnacentral:rRNA from 1 species
AGUGAACGCUGGCGGUAGGCCUAACACAUGCAAGUCGAACGGCAGCACAGUAAGAGCUUGCUCUUACGGGUGGCGAGUGGCGGACGGGUGAGGAAUACAUCGGAAUCUACUUUUUCGUGGGGGAUAACGUAGGGAAACUUACGCUAAUACCGCAUACGACCUACGGGUGAAAGCAGGGGAUCUUCGGACCUUGCGCGAUUGAAUGAGCCGAUGUCGGAUUAGCUAGUUGGCGGGGUAAAGGCCCACCAAGGCGACGAUCCGUAGCUGGUCUGAGAGGAUGAUCAGCCACACUGGAACUGAGACACGGUCCAGACUCCUACGGGAGGCAGCAUUGGGGAAUAUUGGACAAUGGGCGCAAGCCUGAUCCAGCCAUACCGCGUGGGUGAAGAAGGCCUUCGGGUUGUAAAGCCCUUUUGUUGGGAAAGAAAAGCAGCAGGUUAAUACCCCGCUGUUCUGACGGUACCCAAAGAAUAAGCACCGGCUAACUUCGUG